GGCGAACGGGUGAGCAACACGUGGGUGAUCUGCCUCUGAGUGGGGGAUAACGCUCCGAAAGGAGCGCUAAUACCGCAUGACGUUCCGGGUUCGAAGACCUGGAAACCAAAGCCGGGGACCGCAAGGCCUGGCGCUUGGAGAGGAGCCCGCGCCUGAUUAGCUAGUUGGCGGGGUAAUGGCCCACCAAGGCGACGAUCAGUAGCCGGCCUGAGAGGGCGGACGGCCACACUGGGACUGAGACACGGCCCAGACUCCUACGGGAGGCAGCAGUGGGGAAUUGUUCGCAAUGGGCGCAAGCCUGACGACGCAACGCCGCGUGGAGGAUGAAGGUCUUCGGAUUGUAAACUCCUGUUGAUCGGGACGAAUGGCUCCGACCUAACACGUCGGAGAAUGACGGUACCGGUUGAGGAAGCCACGGCUAACUCUGUGCCAGCAGCCGCGGUAAUACAGAGGUGGCAAGCGUUGUUCGGAAUUACUGGGCGUAAAGGGCGCGUAGGCGGCCUUCUAAGUCGGACGUGAAAGCCCCAGGCUCAACCUGGGAACUGCGUCCGAUACUGGGAGGCUUGGAUUCGGGAGAGGGAUGUGGAAUUCCAGGUGUAGCGGUGAAAUGCGUAGAUAUCUGGAGGAACAC
rnacentral:rRNA from 1 species